rnacentral:rRNA from 1 species
GAUGAACGCUAGCUACAGGCUUAACACAUGCAAGUCGAGGGGAAACGAUAUUGGAAGCUUGCUUCCGAUAGGCGUCGACCGGCGCACGGGUGAGUAACGCGUAUCCAACCUGCCCAUCACUUGGGGAUAACCUUGCGAAAGUAAGACUAAUACCCAAUGAUAUCCGUCGAAGACAUCUGAAGUGGAUUAAAGAUUCAUCGGUGAUGGAUGGGGAUGCGUCUGAUUAGCUUGUUGGCGGGGUAACGGCCCACCAAGGCGACGAUCAGUAGGGGUUCUGAGAGGAAGGUCCCCCACAUAGGGACUGAGACACGGUCCAAACUCCUACGGGAGGCAGCAGUGAGGAAUAUUGGUCAAUGGACGAGAGUCUGAACCAGCCAAGUAGCGUGCAGGAUGACGGCCCUAUGGGUUGUAAACUGCUUUUAUAAGGGAAUAAAGUGAGUCUCGUGAGACUUUUUGCAUGUACCUUAUGAAUAAGGACCGGCUAAUUCCGUGCCAGCCGCCGCCGUAA